AUUUUAAUAAAUUCGGUUUUCUCAACUACCGGUUCACGUUGGUUUAGGCGACUAAACCUAGCUCUUCCCCUCUUCUUGACGCAAGGCAUUUAUGGCAGACGAUUAUGCCAAAUAGGCUCCGGUCAUCUCUCUUCUAUUGAGCAAUCAGAUUCUGUGUCCAGUUCCGCACUAACGAUCCCAUUUACUUCAAGACGAAUUCCUCAAUCGCCGCCUUGCCUGAGUCCGUCGAAUCCGGUCAAGCAUCGACGAAGGUCAUUCCACCACAGGUCAUACCAUUUAAUAAGAAGGCCAAGGAGACCUCACCACACAUUGGCGCUCAAUGAUAGGGAUUCAAUUUUUUAUUUGAAUUCCGGCGACCACUCUGGAGCCCUGAUGGUUUCUGAUAAAUUGGUAGGCGAGUCUAAUGUUGUUUUCAGGAAAGCAAAUAAGGGAGAGUGAUUGGGAAGGGUAGAUGACAAGAUGAGCUCUACUUAUAUAGCUUAAAUUUCACCUCUGAAUUCUCAAAUGCAUACAUGGAUUCUAGAAUUUAGCACAAGAGGCUUGAGCACAUCUCUUCUCAAAAGCUUGUUGUGG
rnacentral:lncRNA from 1 species